rnacentral:lncRNA from 1 species
ACCCGCACGCAGACAUCCCCCUCGCGUGCAACGCACCUGGACGCACAAGCGCAUACAAACACACGUGCACAUGGAUGCACACGCGUGCACACAAGCCAUGAAUGCAUCUACGUGUGCGUGCACGCGCAUAAAGCCAUACACGCAGGGGGAUGCCCGCGCGUCCCAAACACCCCCCCACGCGCGCCUGCACACCCAUGCACACGCGUGUGCCCACGUGCACGCGCACACAGCCCCGAUCGACCGCACGCACUCGGGAGGCGGGACUACAGCCCCCAGCAUGCCUUGCGCCUGGGGGCGGGGCGAGGGAUGCCGCUGUCCAAUAGGAGCGAGGGGCGUGGCGGAGGCGGCCAAUAGGCGGUGGGGGGCGUGGCGGCGGGUGCAGAGGGGCAGUCACAUGGCGCAGCGGCGGCAGCGGGGCCCGUCCUGAAAGCGCGGGGGGGGGGGACACGCAUGGAGGAGAGCCAGGAGCAGCACGGGGGGGCCGAGGAGCCCCCCGCCAGCACCGAGCCCACCGUGAGUGCUCCGGGGAGGAGGGGGUGACCCCAUUUUGGGGCGGCGUCCCCCCACUUUGGGAGCGAGUGUGCCCCAUUUCGGGGUGGCCCGAGGGCAGGCCCAAGCCUCCCACCCUUUGAAGAAGGGGGGAGCACUGCCCAGCUUCGGGGAAAAAAGAGCAAAUUUAGGGUGCCCACGUGGCUGCCAACAGCAUUUUUGGGUUUCUCACGCUACUCUCCCCCCCCGCCCCCCCCCGGGCUUUUAUUUAAAAGAGCCUUGAAAUAGUUCAGCCGUUACCGCGCCGCGUCCGUCAGAAGCGGUUAAAAAGAAUAGAAAGAAGAAGAAAAAGUAGUGGGGAGGGGAGCAGCUGCUUUGCCCAAAAAUAGCAACAAGUUUUAUAACUCCGGAAAAUGUAGAACAAACAAACGAGAAACAUUUUUAGCUGAGAAAGGAGGCGGAGGGGAGGG